rnacentral:rRNA from 1 species
ACCGUGAAAAAAUUAGAGUGUUCAAAGCAGGCAGAUCCAAUUUUCUGCCACCGAAUACAUUAGCAUGGGAUAAUGGAAUAGGACCCUGUCCUCCUAUUUUCAGUUGGUUUUGGCAGCGCGAGGACUAGGGUAAUGAUUAAUAGGGAUAGUUGGGGGCAUUAAUAUUUAAUUGUCAGAGGUGAAAUUCUUGGAUUUAUGAAAGAUUAACUUCUGCGAAAGCAUCUGCCAAGGAUGUUUUCAUUAAUCAAGAACGAAAGUUAGGGGAUCGAAGACGAUCAGAUACCGUCGUAGUCUUAACCAUAAACGAUGCCGACCAGCGAUUAGGAGACGUUGAAUACAAAACACCACCAUCGGUGCGGUCGUCCUUGGCGUCUCGGUUUCGGCCGGGGCGCGGGGAUGGCUUAGCCCGGUGGCACCGGUGAAUGACUCCCUAGCAGCUUGUG